rnacentral:lncRNA from 1 species
CUUACUAGUUUAUGUAUCGUUAAUUGUUGAUAUAUUGCCUACUGUUGGUAUUAGGUAUGUAAUAUUCUUGAAUGAGCAGAGAAUUAAAACGAAGGCCAAACAUCCAGAUUUGCCUUUUACUGAAAUAACCAAGAUGCUGGCUGCUGAAUGGUCUCAACUUUCUCAAGCAGAAAAGCAAAAAUAUAUUAAAGAAUCAGAAAAGGAUAAGCAAAGAUAUAUGAAAGAAUUGAAAGCCUAUCAAGACUCUGAAGCCUAUCAAGCUUUCUUAGAGAGAAGAGCAGUUCACAAAGUGAAGACUCUGUGUGGAACAAUAUCUAUAGGAAGUAGAUCUGAGAAUGAAGCUCUUGCUUUGUCAACAAUAGAUAGAGAUGAAAGCAAUGACUUGUAUUGUCGGACAUGUAACCAGUUUUUCAGUUCUUUUCAUAACAAGAAAGAACACCUUAUGGGAAAGCAACACUUACAGAAUUUAACAGGAGAGUUUGAGAAAGAAACUGCUGAGUUCUCUAAACAUCAGAAACUGCAAGAAGAAAAGGAGGGAAAAGAUGAGUCAGAAGAAGAAAUUGACUCUACAGAUGUGUUUCAGUUUGGGGGCCUGACCUCUCAGAAGAACUUUGCGUUAUCUGAUUUUUGCUUUUUGCAGGAGUUUAUCUUCAGGCUUCUGAAAUUUAAAGAGUUUGAACUUUGUGAACUAAAAAGAAGUUUGACAAAGGCAUAUGAAGAACAGGAAAGUUUAAAAAAGC